ensembl:rRNA 5S_rRNA 5S ribosomal RNA
GUCUAUGGCCACACCACCCUGAACGCACUCAAUCUCGUCUGAUUAGAAGCUAAGCAGAGUUAGGGCUGGUUAGUACUCGGAUGGGAGAACAAAAGGCCCCAGAGGCC